UACGUACGAGGCAAGCGUUAUCCGGAAUUAUUGGGCGUAAAGAGCUCGUAGGCGGUUUGUCGCGUCUGCCGUGAAAGUCCGGGGCUCAACUCCGGAUCUGCGGUGGGUACGGGCAGACUAGAGUGCAGUAGGGGAGACUGGAAUUCCUGGUGUAGCGGUGAAAUGCGCAGAUAUCAGGAGGAACACCGAUGGCGAAGGCAGGUCUCUGGGCUGUAACUGACGCUGAGGAGCGAAAGCGUGGGGAGCGAACAGG
rnacentral:rRNA from 1 species